rnacentral:rRNA from 1 species
UGACCGCUGGCGGCGUGCCUACUACAUGCACGUCGAGCGAACAGACGCGGAGCUUGCUCCUCUGACGUUAGCGGCGGACGGGUGAGUAACACGUGGAUAACCUACCUAUAAGACUGGGAUAACUUCGGGAAACCGGAGCUAAUACCGGAUAAUAUAUUGAACCGCAUGGUUCAAUAGUGAAAGACGGUUUUGCUGUCACUUAUAGAUGGAUCCGCGCCGCAUUAGCUAGUUGGUAAGGUAACGGCUUACCAAGGCAACGAUGCGUAGCCGACCUGAGAGGGUGAUCGGCCACACUGGAACUGAGACACGGUCCAGACUCCUACGGGAGGCAGCAGUAGGGAAUCUUCCGCAAUGGGCGAAAGCCUGACGGAGCAACGCCGCGUGAGUGAUGAAGGUCUUCGGAUCGUAAAACUCUGUUAUUAGGGAAGAACAAAUGUGUAAGUAACGAUGCACGUCUUGACGGUACCUAAGCAGAAAGCCACGGCUAACUACGU